UUCGACCUCAAAUCAGGA
rnacentral:rRNA from 1 species